GUGACGACGAGGUCGGAGUGCUGAACGGUGAAGAAAAGCGGCAAGCCGA
rnacentral:snoRNA from 1 species